ensembl:lncRNA ZNF213-AS1 ZNF213 antisense RNA 1 (head to head)
AUUUACCUCGUUCUCUUUUGUCUCCGCUUUUUUUUCACAUUUCCUUGCGACCCUGGCCCUUGAGCGACAAAAAGGGGAAGCCAAGGCUGGCCCGAGGAACGGAGAGGGCACAUGGCCUAGCCACAAGUGGAGCUUCUGCUCCGCCCGAAGGGAUGCGCUGGAGCGGCCUCUUCCUUCUGCCACGGUCUUUCUUUGCCAACUAGUAGGUGAGGGCCGAAAGGCCGCGGGCCGUGGAGCUCGGGCCGGGGAGACUCUUUUCUAGCCUCUUGGGUCCCGCUCCUCCCAAUUCCCUGGAGAGGCGUCGAGCUUGCUGGGAAGUGCCCUCGGAUAUGCUUCUACGUACACCUUUAUUCAUUUGCUUGAACAUUUCCCUGAGAAAAACUAGAAAUGGAAUUGCCAGAUUACUUUGUGUACAUGUUUCCAAACUGUCCUCCAGAAAGAAUGUAAUGCUUUGAACUUCCACUUGAGAAUCAAAUGUUUACCUUCCUCUGUUCCUCCAGAUUUGGACAUUUACAGUGUUCAGCCGUUGUUGUGGCAUUCCAAUUCAAUUGGGAAACAGCUUGAUGUAGCGUCCCCAUAAGGUCCACAGUAAUUAAAUUUUUUUUUUUUUUUUUUGGUGCGGUAGUGCAAUUUCAUGGCUCACUGCAACCUCCACCUCCCAGGUUCAAGCGAUCCUCCCAUCUCAGCCUCCCUAGUAGCUGGGAUUACAGGUGCACGCCACCACACCAGGCUAAUUUUUGUAUUUUUAGUAGAGAUGGGGUUUCACCAGGUUAGCCAGGCUGGUCUUGAACUCCAGACCUCAAGGGAUCCGCCUGCCUCAGCUUUCCAAAGUGCUGGGAUUACAGGUGGAGACUGGACCUCAGAAGAGGGAGUGGGUGCCCCGAGAACUCACAGCUAGCGGACAGUGGAAAGGGCAGGAGCCGGACCAAGGUGAGGACAGUGGAACUGAAGGCCGCUGGUUACCUCUCCUGCCCUCCGCUGGCCACAGUGGAGAAGACAGCCCCUCCCUCCUGCUCUGACCUGACAGUGUUCAUCCAUCGCCCUGUAUUAGCGAAGAACAACAUCAAGCUGGCUAGCAAGGAACUGUAUACAGGGUCCAGCUGGGUAUCACACUGGAUCUCACCCAAAGCUUAGAUGUGAUCCAGCUCAGUAUCACAAAGCAGAACGAAAAGGAUGUGUUUGGGCUGAGAGGCCAUACAUUGGCUCCGGCAUGACGGGUGACUUCUUCCGAGUCUGGCUUCUGCAGCACACAGGGCUUCGCCAGCACCCAGCUCCUGCAGCAUGGGCAGCUCCUGUGACAGCAGGCGCCCGCAGCCUGCAAAGCGUCUCCAGUGCCGCCGCCUCAGUGAACCUCAACCAGCGGCACCUAGCAGCUUUCUCUGCCACCCUCUUCAGGUAGUUCUGUAGCAGCGCGUUUCUCAUGAGACACUUCCCUGUGAGCAGCUUUUUCUACCCUUGAGGAUGGAUUUCCAGCAAAUUCUGCCCAUGUGGUACCACAGCCACUUCUCUGCCAUUCAGUGAAACUGCCGUUGUGCCCUCUUCAAGGUCUGGAUCUAAGCCCAGGGACCAGGAAACCUCUUGCUUGAGUGCUGGAACUCAGGCCAGAAGGUAUGGCUGCUGCUAUGUGCUGUGACCAGAGAAUCAGAGUUCUCUUUACUUCUUACCAGCCAACCUCUUGAAAAUGCCUUUUUGUUUUUUGUUUUUUUUUGAGACGGAGUCUCGCUCUGUUGCCCAGGCAGUGCAGUGGCUCACUGCAACCUCCGCCUCCUGAGUUCAAGUGAUUCUCCUGCCUCAGCCUCACAAGUAGGUGGGAUUACAGGCAUGUGCCACCACGCCCAGCUAAUUUUGUAUUUUUAGUAGUGACGGGGUUUCUCCAUGUUGGUCAGGUUGGUCUCAAACUCUCGACCUCAGGUGAUCCACCUGUCUCAGCCUCCCAAAGUGCUGGGAUUACAGACGUUAGCCAGAGCGCCCAGUCUAAGCCCUUUAUAGCUUAA